GCGGGCGUAGCUCAAUGGUAGAGCGCCAGCUUCCCAAGCUGGACACGCGGGUUCGAUUCCCGUCGCCCGCUCCG
rnacentral:tRNA from 2 species